rnacentral:rRNA from 1 species
UACGUAGGGGGCAAGCGUUGUCCGGAAUCAUUGGGCGUAAAGAGCGUGUAGGCGGUCCGGUAAGUCCGCUGUGAAAGUCGGGGGCUCAACCCUCGAAUGCCGGUGGAUACUGUCGGGCUAGAGUGCGGAAGAGGCGAGUGGAAUUCCUGGUGUAGCGGUGAAAUGCGCAGAUAUCGGGAGGAACACCUAUUGCGAAGGCAGCUCGCUGGGACGUAACUGACGCUGAGACGCGAAAGCGUGGGGAGCAAACAGG